GAAAUGCGAUAAGUAAUGUGAAUUGCAGAAUUCAGUGAAUCAUCGAAUCUUUGAACGCAUCUUGCGCUCCUUGGCAUUCCGAGGAGCAUGCCUGUUUGAGUGUCGUUGCACUUCUCAAACCCCCAACCUUCCGCAGAGCAGGUUGUGGAUUUGGAUCGGUGGAGGAUGCAUUUGCUGCCCCCCAGGACCCUGGGGCGUCAUGCUUCUCUGAAAUGCAUCAUCAGCAUUAUGGCUGCGGUCACGAACCCCGUUGCCGGUAUGAUAUGAUCCAUCUUACCUGCUUCUAACCUCGUGCCAGCCAGAGGAAUCGCCUCACUAUCUGACCUCAAAUCAGGCAGGACUACCCGCUGAACUUAA
rnacentral:misc_RNA from 1 species